rnacentral:rRNA from 1 species
AUUGAACGCUGGCGGCAGGUCCAACCCAUGCAAGUCGAGCGGAGCGGCGGACGGGUGAGUAAUGCCUAGGAAUCUGCCUGGUAGUGGGGGAUAACGUCCGGCAACGGGCGCUAAUACCGCAUACUAUCAGAUGAGCUUAGGUCGGAUUUGCUAGUUGGUGGGGUAAAGGCCUACCAAGGCGACGAUCCGUAACUGGUCUGAGAGGAUGAUCAGUCACACUGGAACUGAGGCGCGGUCCAGACUCCUACGGGAGGCAGCCGUGGUGAGUAUUGGACGAUGGGCAGAAGCCUGAUCCAACCAUGCCGCAUGUGUGAAGAGGGUCUUCGGAUUGUAGAGCACUUUAAGUUUGGAGGCGUUACCAACAGAAUGAGCACCGGCUAACUUCAUGCCAGCAGCCGCGGUAAUAC